rnacentral:rRNA from 1 species
AAUCAACGCUGGCGGCGUGCCUAACACAUGCAAGUCGAACGAGAAAGUGGAGCAAUCCAUGAGUACAGUGGCGCACGGGUGAGUAACACGUGACUAACCUACCCUUGAGUGGGGAAUAACUUCGGGAAACCGAGGCUAAUACCGCAUAACACCUACGGGUCAAAGGAGCAAUUCGCUCGAGGAGGGGGUCGCGGCCGAUUAGUUAGUUGGCGGGGUAAUGGCCCACCAAGACGAUGANCGGUAUCCGGCCUGAGAGGGCGCACGGACACACUGGAACUGAAACACGGGCCAGACUCCUACGGGAGGCAGCAGGUGGGGAAUCUUGCACAAUGGGGGCAACCCUGAUGCAGCGACGCCGCGUGAGUGAUGAA